rnacentral:rRNA from 1 species
GUGGGGAAUAUUGGACAAUGGGCGAAAGCCUGAUCCAGCCAUGCCGCGUGUGUGAAGAAGGUCUUCGGAUUGUAAAGCACUUUAAGUUGGGAGGAAGGGUAGUAACCUAAUACGUUGCUACUUUGACGUUACCGACAGAAUAAGCACCGGCUAACUUCGUGCCAGCAGCCGCGGUAAUACGAAGGGUGCAAGCGUUAAUCGGAAUUACUGGGCGUAAAGCGCGCGUAGGUGGUUCAGUAAGUUGGAAGUGAAAUCCCCGGGCUCAACCUGGGAACUGCUUUCAAAACUGCUGAGCUAGAGUACGGUAGAGGGUGGUGGAAUUUCCUGUGUAGCGGUGAAAUGCGUAGAUAUUGACAGGAACACCAGUGGCGUAAGCGGCUAUCUGGACCGAUAUUGACGCUGAGGCACGAAAGCGUGGGGAUCAAACAGGAUUAGAUACCCCGGUAGUCC